GCCCGCAUGGCUCAGUGGUAGAGCGCACCACUAGUAUCAGGUUACUAGGUCAUGGUGAGGUCGUCAGUUCGAUUCUGGCUGUGGGCA